UACGGAGGAUCCAAGCGUUAUCCGGAAUUACUGGGCGUAAAGAGUUGCGUAGGUGGCAUUGUAUGUCGAUAGUGAAAGCGUGUGGCUCAACCAUAUACACAUUAUCGAAACUGCAAGGCUAGAGGACGAGAGAGGUAAUUGGAAUUCUCAGUGUAGGAGUGGAAUCCGUAGAUAUUGGGAGGAACACCGAUGGCGUAGGCAGAUUACUGGCUCGUUCCUGACACUAAGGCACGAAAGCGUGGGUAGCAAACGGG
rnacentral:rRNA from 1 species